rnacentral:lncRNA from 1 species
GGCUGAGGUGAGCUAAAAAGAAACAUGUGACAUAACCAGUUUCAUCAUAGAGUGACUUUCAAAAAGAAAACACAGCUAUUUAUUUUCUGAAAACAUUGCAAAUACUUAUAAAUAAUAGCUGGUUCCUAUUUGGACAGUAAUUUAUUUCUGGUAUUUUUAUUUCAUGUAAGAGUGUAAUGACAUUUUUCAGACUAACUUUUGGGCAUUUGUUACAUGAGAUCACAGAAUUAGAAGCACUGGUGGUGGCCAUCCCAAUAUUGAUACCAUGCAGAGUUCUCUGCCCUAACCUCUUGAACCCACCUCCUUCCUUCUUGAACUUGCCAACCAAUGAGAGGGCAACCUGGGCAGUGUCCACACUGAUGGUUGUUCAAGUACCUCCAAAAUGGCAUUUUAACGUCACACCGCGUUAUACAAACACACUGAACUUGUGAAAGGUUUGUACUUACCAGGCUGCUAUGGUCUACGCUUCUUUUCAGUAGAGUCUGUAAUUCAAACUUUCAAAAACUUUAAUUGGCCUCUUGCCUUUCCUCUCAGUCCAAAUGUGUGGAGUUUUACCAUAAAACUGAAAUGAGGAAAGCAGAACUCAUCCACGGAUAGAAAUAGUGUCAGUUCUACCUGUUGCGCAGAGAAUUCUGACUUCCAGGGAUGUUACGUUGGAUGUAACUAAAAUGGCAUUUGAUGGAGAGUGAUUCAAAAACAGGGUGGGGGAGUUGCAGGCAGGCGUCCAAGAGAGGCGUCUGAGCAGGGGAGAGGUGGGCCACGGGACGCUUCUGGGAGCGGCUCACAGGCUUGGACCUGCAGCCUGCGGCGCCCUGGGAUAUGGGUGUGCGCAUGCGCGUGCGCGUGAUUAAAGCCUCGGGGAAGGCAUUUGAAGCCCCUGAGGUCUCAAGGUGAUAAAGUCAACACGCCAGCCUGCCAAAAUGUGCAGUCUGAAACGGACCUAUUUCUCACCACACACAUGAGGAUACCAUUCCUGUUCAAAUAUUUAUUUGGGCUUGCAUUCCGAAACGACUUAUUCCUCUGUUAGGUUUGGGCACUUCCCCAUUCCUUUCUCUCUCUUUUUAAGGUUUUAUGAAGAUUUCCUUCUCAUUUGUUCUAAGGGAUUUAUGUUUUAUUCAUUGAAAUAGUAGCUGGAGCCUGAAAAUGAUGGAUUCAGGGACACAUAAAUGAAAGGUUAUAGAAGUUUAAAUUGUUAAACGCAAGUCAUAUAGUUAUAUCCUCACCUCACC